UCAGCCUGUUAGAAACUGACAUCAUAAAGCCCAUGGACGUGGGAGCCACAGCCACUCACCAAUGAAGGUCCCUUCAUGAAUGUGCACUUCCUGCAGCUCCUGCCUGUCAGGACCCAAGCCCGUGUGCAGGCUGACCUCUGAGCUGUCAUAGCUGUAGGAGCUGAACACCAUGGUGCAGUUCUGCCAGUCGAAGGGGAAUGUUUCAGGAGAGGCAGGGUUCCCAGGGGGAGUCCCCGGGGCACCUGGAUGCUGCAGCUGCUACGGUAGAGGCCUGGAGGCUGCCAGCGCACGGAGCCGUCUGAGGACACCACGACGUUCAAGUCCAGAGCAACGUCGAAAUUGCCGUCGUUGCUGCGGGUCCUGGUGCAAGAAAAUACUCUUACUGAGGCGGACAUUGGAGGAAAUUGUAAAGGCAGCGGGACGCCCUUUCCCACCCCGCGGGGGUCUGCAUACCAGGUCUAAGUACACCUUUGUGCUCAUCUCCUCAUCCUUCUCGUUCUAGAAGGGAAAAGUUUAAAAAGAGUAGAGGGGAUGUGACUAGAAAGAAAUGAAGGGGCUCCGCGGGUCAAGCUCUCACUGGAAAUCCCUCUUUUUCUGAGUCCCCCUUUCUUGGCUACAAGCCCCGCCUCCUGGAUGCUGCAUGGUGUAAGCCCCACCUCUAUCUCAGAAACUUCCGGCGGUCUACACCGCCAGCCAAUCCAACUACCAGGCCGCCCCCCGGCCCCCACCCACAGCCCGUAAAUCACCCAACCCUGCAUCUCCGCCCGCCGUUAUUUCCCGACCCGAUGCGGCCGCAAGCUCCGCCCCAGCCUGCGACCCCGACCCGGGACCCGCCCCCCAGCCAGUCCAGGGCGGCAGCCCCGGUUCCACCCGCAGCCGGUCCAGAAGCCACGCCCACGGCUCGUCCAUUGGUCCGACGUCCACCCAAUGGGGUCUGCCAACUGCCCGUCCAUCUCCCGGCCUGGCUCCGCCCCAGGCCCAGC